CGAGAACACCAUUCGGACGUUCAGUGACUUCAUUGGCGAGCCUAUAUAGGACGUUAAUUUUACGCAUGUGACGAGGCCGUCUUCGAAGCAAAACACGUAAUCGCAGCUUGAGCGCCAGACAUGGGAGAAAUCUCACGCGUGUGACCAGUACCUGGCAGCCUUUCCUGAAGCACGAUGGAAUAUGUGACAAUUCAUUCCGGG